UUCUGUUUCAGUCAUCCCCGGCCAAACUGGCUCGUAACUUUAAACUGUUACCUUCCCAAGUUCAUUUGUACCCGCAUUUGGGGGGUUGGCAGGUGUCAAUUUAAAGCCCUGCUGACAACCUUUGAACGCAAAGCAGACGGACA